CGCCAAGUGGUAAGGCAGCGGGUUUUGAUCCCGCCAUCCGUUGGUUCGAAUCCAGCC
rnacentral:tRNA from 1 species